rnacentral:misc_RNA from 1 species
AACACGCUUGACGUAUCCUAGCGCUUCAUUGCUGCUCCUCAAGACCCCUUACUCAAGAUGGACUCGAGCAACUUCCCCCAGACCCCGGUCGACGCGGCCAAUCCCUCGUCGACCCCGCUUCCCCUCGACUCGUCGACGCUCCCCCUCGUCGACUCAGCAGCAGGCAGCCUCCAGUCGACGGCCACGACGACCGACGUCGUGAUCGAUUACGACGAAGCGGAGGAGGAGAUCCGGCAGUUCAUGGCGGAACUCCCGUCGGGCCCGUUCAAUCGGGACCAAACCCUUUCCCCCCCCGCCGGAGACCCCUUCCUCAGCCCCGCCUACGGUGGACUCGGCUACUACGGCCCGCAACAGCAGGAGCAGGACGGUGCAGGUCCAGCGUAUCCUCUCGGAAGCGCAGGCUAUCAGCACGCUUCCGGGACAGCAGCCCUCCGCCCUCUCCUCCUCCCCCAGCGGCCACAACCCCCUCGCCAACCUCUCCAUCCCGCGCACCCACCCGACGACGGAGCGCGAGCGCAGUCAAGCGCUCCUCUCGGCCACGAGUCAUCCCGUCCCGAUGCAGGUGGACGACGAGGUGGUCGAGGUGUCGUACUCGCCCCUUCCAUCCAACCCCCGCCCCUUCCGUCCGGCGCCUCCCCCGCCUCCUCCCGCACCGCAGGCAUCGCAGGCGACGCCGGAACUCGAGGAGUUGUCCUUCACCCGAUACCCUCGCGGCAAGACCCGCUCGUCGCAGCACCGCCAGUCGACUCAGGCGUUCCUCCUAACCCCCGCAGGCGGGAUGAGCCGCCGCACGUAACCCGUCGUGGCGCAGGAGACCGUCCAACCUUUGCUCCGCCAGACUCGUCCGCAACCUCCGACGAACCUCGUCCUCGGUCCCCCCUCAGAGCUCCGAGACCGUCGAUGCCGUUCGGCACCUUCGUGAAAGACGACAAUCCCGUCGUCGCCACGUCGCUGGACUCGUACCUUGACAACCCAGACAGCCUGAGCUGGAAAGACCGCGCGUCGCUGCUGCCGAAGACGGACGAGUACCCAGGCUGGGAUGGCAAUCCGUCGAAGCUGUUGAAGUACUUGCAGACGAUGGACGUGUUCAUUCGCGUCAACCAGAUCCCCGAGAGGAUCCUCCUCGCGAAGUUCCGCUCAAAGCUGUCCGGCGAAGCCGAGCAGUUCUACAGCCUCCGAGUUGGCGAACCUCCCAUGCCCAACUCGUGGGAGGAGUGGAAAGACGCCUUCCGCGAGCGCUUCCUCGGCCGGAACUGGCAGCGAGAGAUGCAGGAGAACGUACCGCGCGAUGCAGUACACGGGCGAAGACCCCAACAGCUGGCUCGAGAAGUUCAUCAAUGCCAUCCGUUCCGUCCAGCCCAAUGCUUCGGGCGACGAGAUCCAGCAAGCCGUCCAGCUUCGCAUUCCCCAGCAGAUGGCGAUGAAUCUUGAAGCCCUCCGAGGCCGCCAAGGGUCCGUCUCCCUGACGCAGUUCAUGCGGAACUUUGAGGAGAUGGCGACCCUGCAAUUCCCGCAUGGCUUCAGGCGUAACAACCCGUCUCGCAACCCGACGACCUCGGACUCCUCCUCGAACCGUCCGCGUCCCUCGGACCCUCGAAGGACCGUGCCCAGCUCUGGUGCCGCACGUCCCGCUCAGUCCGCCCCCGCAAGUCGUCCCGCUCAGGCCUCCGCAGGCGGAUCCGGACCAACUCCUCGCCGAUGUUACAUCUGCCAGUCGACGAGCCACAUCUCCACCUCGUGCCCUCAGAGGCCCGCGGUAGCAGCGUUGGCGGAUGGCGAAGAUGAGCAAGUAGCUGAGGAGAGCGAAGAAGCGGCGCCUGAGGAAGCGCAGUGGGAGUCGUCUGAUGGAGGGCGAAGUCAACCACGACUUCAACAUCGAAGCGCUCUCCUCCGACUCCUACUACUGGCUUGAGAACUCGCCGGAGCGGCUUGAACGCUUUGGCUGGCUUGACUUGGCGUGUCGACCACCCACGGACUCGCUCAGCGCACCCGAAGCCGUCGCCCACCCUCUCGACUACGUCCUCGCCCUCGACGCUCCUCUCGGCUUCCGAGCGCUCGACGCGGCGGUUCUGUCAAUCGGGCAAGGAGUCGAAGCUGCGACGGACGAGCUGGCAACCUCAGGCGCACCGGUGCUUGUCUCGACGAAGCAGGCCCUCUGACUCUCCUCGUCGGUCCAAACCUCGGACGCUCCGAUGCGAACGAAGGCAGUGAGGGCUGGACAUCGCCCACACCACGGCGCUCUCGCUCACCACUCGCGUGUUGAUCAACGGCAACCCCGUCACAAUCUUCCUCGAUACCGGCGCCGGACCCUCCGUCGCCGACGCCCGCGCUCUCGACCAAGUCGACGUCGGCUGGCGGACAAGGCUGCAGCCUAUGCCUCACAAGACGUCGUUCACGGCGUUCGGCAGCAAGCUGAGCCCGCUCGGCGUCGUCAAAACAGCCCUCGUCUUCCCUCACCCGGCAGGCAACUUGCGCCUGAGCAUUGAGUUUGCCGUUAUCGAGACGGACGUCGCGCCCGUCCCGUUCAUCUUUGGCAUGGAUUGGAUGCUCGCUUACGGCGUCAACGUCAUGCUCGAGCACGGCCCGUACUUCACGAUCGGAAGAGCGAAGCAACGCUUCGCCAUCGCUACGAAGACCGGCUUUGCGCUCCCUUACGUCGACCCAGACGAGCUUGAGGCUUGCUCAAACCGCGCCACUGUCGCAGCCGUCACCGCAGGACGGCCCACGACGGAGCCAACGGAGUUCGAAAAGGCGCUCGCCCUCGUGAAGGUCAAUCCGGAGCUCAAGCCAGAGCAGCUCGACCUCGACAACCUUCCUCCGCGCAUCAAGCAGAACGCUUACCCAGCUUCGCCCCGCGCUCGCGAGGCAAUGAAGAACUGCGUUAACGAGUUCCUCGAGCUCGGCAUCAUCCGCGAGUCCAAGAGCCAGUUCGCUGCGCCUGCGCUCAUUGUCUUCCGUGGCGAAAAGGCUCGGCUCGUCGUCAACUACAAGGUGCUGAACUCGGUGACGACACCCGACGCGUACCCUAUGCCUCGAAUCGACCAGUCCCUAUCCCAAUGAACCCGGCUCACACCGACCGCACCGCUUUCUCGACUCCCUUUGGGCAGUACGAGUACCUGCGGAUGCCCAUGGGCCUUCGCAACGCGCCGGCCGAGUUCCAACGACGAAUGGACAAGCACUUCCACGACGAGCUGAGAGAAGGCUGGAUGAACGUCUAUAUCGACGACCUCCUAGCGCACUCUCACACGUUCGAGGAACACCUCGCCCACCUCGAGCGCAUGCUCGCUAUCCUCGAUGCGCACGGCUGGACGAUGUCGCCCGCGAAAUGCUUCCUCGGAUUCUCCCAGAUCCGCCAACUCGGCCACCGCGUCUCCGGCGUCCUCCUCGGCAUCGACGACAACAAGAUUGUCGCCGUCAAGACGUGGCCCGCGCCGACAACGGUCAAGGAGCUGCAGGUCUGGCUUGGCUUCACGGGUUACUUCCGACACGCCGUGGCAAUGGACGAAGGAAUGCCAGGAGGCGUUCGAGAAGCUCAAGGAUCUCCUUCUGAACGCCCCGGUCCUUGCAACUUGACGGCGCUCCGCGCAAGGUUGUCAUCUGCUUCAUCAGCCGCCAGCUCAACGCAGCGGAAGAGAAGUACUCGAUACCGCAGCUUGAGUGUCUCGCCGUCGUCUGGGCGCUGGAGAAGCUUCACGUCUUCCUCGACGGCGUGAACUUCACCGUGUGGACGGACGCGGGCGCGAUGAAGACGCUUAUGGACAUGCAGAGCCCGUCGCGGCACAUGCUGCGCUGGCAACUCGCGGUGCAGGAGUACCGCAACUUCAUGAAGAUCCGUCACCGCGCCGGCAAAGCGAACGGCGCCGCAGACGGACUCUCUCGCUGUCCCUUGCCGAACGACGAGUCGAACCCGGCAGCGGAUCUCUCGACCGAGCCUGAACUUCGCGUCCAAGCGCUCUCGUUCGCGAUGCUCGACGACUCGUUCUUUGACGCAAUCCGCCAGAGCUACGCUGCCGACAAGGAUUUCAGCAAGAUCCACCUCGCCUUGCGUUCCUCCUCCUCGACGACCUCGUCUAUCGUCGGAAAGGCUCGCGCACGUCGCUCGUUGUCCUUGACAAGGACGUCCGCACGUCCGCGCUCAGCGCGUGUCACGACGAGGUCACGAGCGGCCACUUCUCCCUCGAGAAGACCUAUGCCCGCUUGCAGCCGCUCGUCUGGUGGCCCGGGAUGUACGACGACACGCUCGACUACUGCAAAAGCUGCGACUCCUGCCAGCGCGCGAACCACGCGACUGGGAAGCCGUACGGAUUGGCGCAGACGAUCAAGGAGCCGACGAAGCCCUGGGACAUUAUCAACAUGGACUUCGUCGGACCGUUCUCCAAGGGCGGGAACGCCCAGUACGACGCUGUUCUCGUUGUAACUGACCGCUACUCUCGCCGCUGCCGUCUCAUCCCUACCUUCACGGA